rnacentral:rRNA from 1 species
UUUUUCAUAGAAAAUUUUUCUUCCUUGCUCAGGACGAGGUGCUGGCGCGCCCUACUCUAAUACAUGCAAGUCGAUCGCUUUCUUUUUUCCACCGGAGCUUGCUCCACCGGAAAAAGAGGAGUGGCGAACGGGUGAGUAACACGUGGGUAACCUGCCCAUCAGAAGGGGAUAACACUUGGAAACAGGUGCUAAUACCGUAUAACAAUCGAAACCGCAUGGUUUUGAUUUGAAAGGCGCUUUCGGGUGUCGCUGAUGGAUGGACCCGCGGUGCAUUAGCUAGUUGGUGAGGUAACGGCUCACCAAGGCCACGAUGCAUAGCCGACCUGAGAGGGUGAUCGGCCACAUUGGGACUGAGACACGGCCCAAACUCCUACGGGAGGCAGCAGUAGGGAAUCUUCGGCAAUGGACGAAAGUCUGACCGAGCAACGCCGCGUGAGUGAAGAAGGUUUUCGGAUCGUAAAACUCUGUUGUUAGAGAAGAACAAGGAUGAGAGUAACUGUUCAUCCCUUGACGGUAUCUAACCAGAAAGCCACGGCUAACUACGUGCCAGCAGCCGCGGUAAUACGUAGGUGGCAAGCGUUGUCCGGAUUUAUUGGGCGUAAAGCGAGCGCAGGCGGUUUCUUAAGUCUGAUGUGAAAGCCCCCGGCUCAACCGGGGAGGGUCAUUGGAAACUGGGAGACUUGAGUGCAGAAGAGGAGAGUGGAAUUCCAUGUGUAGCGGUGAAAUGCGUAGAUAUAUGGAGGAACACCAGUGGCGAAGGCGGCUCUCUGGUCUGUAACUGACGCUGAGGCUCGAAAGCGUGGGGAGCAAACAGGAUUAGAUACCCUGGUAGUCCACGCCGUAAACGAUGAGUGCUAAGUGUUGGAGGGUUUCCGCCCUUCAGUGCUGCAGCUAACGCAUUAAGCAUCCGC